ACCUUCUUCUCUCCCUCCCUUCUAGUCCCUUCUUCAUUUCCCUUUCCUCGUCCGUCCUAUCCACCUGUCUUCCCUUCCUUUCUUCCUCUUUUUCAUCUCCAUGCUGCUCCUGUUCUUCUAGACGACUGUGUCACACAAUGCCUGCUCUCUGCCAGAACGUCAGAGGAGCAGGGGGUGACAGUGCAUGGAUCCCUGUGAGGAGAGAGCCAGCGUUCGCAGUGUAAGUGCUGCGGGCAUUGGUCCCAACACACGUCCAGUUUUCUGGUAUGCUCUGGUAUUCUGGUUCUCUUUUGGAUCCCAGUAGCAUUUGGUUGUGUAGGUUUUGCAAUUAUAUUGUGAGUGACGUCUUUGGUUUUCUGUUUACUUCAUUGUUGUUUUUUGUUUUUGUUUUUUAAAGCACUGACUGGGAGCCUGGGAGAUAGCUCAGUCAGUAUGGCCAUGAAGACAUGAAUUCCUUAUAACCCAGAAGAAAAUGCCAGGUGCAUGCUUAGAAUCCCACCGCCGGGGAGGAGGAAACUGAAGAUCCCUGGGAUAGCUGGCUGGUCAGCCUAGCUUCCUCAGUGAGCCCCAGGCUCAAUGCUUCCUGUGGCAAGCUCCCAGGGGCCCCACCUCAAGGGUGCCUCUUCCCCAUGACCACCUGUGACCUUCAAAAUGACAGCUGCCAAGGAUGCUGAAGAUGGUCAGCCUGGCUCAUCACCAACUCUGGAACUCAGCAGCUGCAUCAAUGUGGAUGGGGAAAAAAAAGUCUCGGUUACAUUGAUCUUUGCCAGUGUCUCCUUCAGCAACAUACAUCGCCACAACCACAUCUCCAGUGGUCUCUGGGAACAUCAUCACUAUUUUCAGAUCUGUGACAGUUGUGUCAGGUGGUUGAAAAUGUCAUUAAACCCAUUACUGCUUCAAAAUUACAGUCAUUAUUGAAACCUGCUCCUAGACCUUGUUAUUUAGUCUGUUAAUAAACAAGGAUUCCUAGAACCAUAAACUUUA
rnacentral:lncRNA from 1 species